CUUCUAACAAAAAAAAAAGUGUAACUCUAAGUUAUAAGAACUGCAACCAAAAGCAAAAGGCUGACAAUAACUGGCUCACUUUAAGAGAAUGGUUUUGAGUCUUCUUCAUUAAUAUACUUUGGAGACCCACAGUUAUAACUUUAAUGCCCAAAUUUCAAUAGUAUCCAAAAUAAUCUCUGAGCUAGCCUUAGGAUGUUUCUUAGCUAAGCGUUAUUAGUUUGGCUGGCUCACUCUUGGACAGAAAAAAAACAUAUUUAUGGUACUCCAAAUGUAGAAAAACCCAUGGCUUUUAUUUAAUACAUUUACAGUUUCUUGAGAUUACAAAACAUUUCACAGUUUCUAUCUGUAUGUAUAUUUAAAUUUCCUCUAAAUAUCUGAAAUCACACCAUCAGAAUCUAAGUUAGAUGAGAGCAGGAACCCUGACUAUUUCACUCACGUGUGUAGAGCCAAUGUCCCGUCUCCAGAGUAAAGAUUGGAUGGAAUGCAGAAUAUUGAAAUGGAAGGCAGAAUAUUGAAAUGGAAUGCAGAAUAUUGAAAUGGAAUGUAGAAUAUUGAAUGAAUCAAUCAAAGACUUUAACACUUCCAGCUACAGGCAGCUCAUUAUGGCUCAAAGCAGCCAGGCCUCAGAGUUCUUUUUUACAAUGAUUGGACUGUCAUCUCUUCCCACUUGUUUGUUCCAGUUUUAGCUCGUCAGGUCAUGUAGAUUUACUCUACCAUAUAACAAACCUUUAAAUACCUGAACUGAUACUCAUGCCCUACUUUCUCCACCUGACCUCUGAGGUUGACUUAUUUGGAGGUUCAAGAUAAUUGACCACUAAGUCUGGUUCUGGAGAAGUUGGGUUUCCACAUGCCUUACAGCUUGGAACGUGCUUCCUUGGGGAUUUCAUGUUCAUAUCAAUGACUGAUUUGGAAUUCGGAUUUGCCUUUGAAUGUUGG
rnacentral:lncRNA from 1 species